AUUGAACGCUGGCGGCAGGCCUAACACAUGCAAGUCGAGCGGAGCGGCGGACGGGUGAGUAAUGCCUAGGAAUCUGCCUGGUAGUGGGGGAUAACGUCCGGAAACGGGCGCUAAUACCGCAUACUAUCAGAUGAGCCUAGGGCGGAUUAGCUAGGUGGUGGGGUAAAGGCCUACCAAGGCGACGAUCCGUAACUUGUCUGAGAGGAUGAUCAGGCACCCCGGGAAGGAAACACGGUCCAAACCCCCACGGGAGGCAGCCGGGGGGAAUAUUGGACAAUGGGCGAAAGCCUGAUCCAGCCAUGCCGCGUGUGUGAAGAAGGUCUUCGGAUUGUAAAGCACUUUAAGUUGGGAGGCGUUACCAACAGAAUAAGCACCGGCUAACUUCGUGCCAGCCGCCGCGGUAAUAC
rnacentral:rRNA from 1 species